rnacentral:rRNA from 1 species
GACGAACGCUGGCGGCGUGCUUAACACAUGCAAGUCGAACGGAAAGGCCCUGCUUUUGUGUGGUGCUCGAGUGGCGAACGGGUGAGUAACACGUGAGUAACCUGCCCUUGACUUUGGGAUAACUUCAGGAAACUGGGGCUAAUACCGGCUAGGAGCGCCUGCUGCAUGGUGGGGGUUGGAAAGUUUCGGCGGUUGGGGAUGGACUCGCGGCUUAUGAGCUGGUUGGUGGGGUAGUGGCUUACCAAGGCUUUGACGGGUAGCCGGCCUGAGAGGGUGACCGGCCACAUUGGGACUGAGAUACGGCCCAGAGUGCUACGGGAGGCAGCAGUGGGGAAUAUUGCACAAUGGGCGGAAGCCUGAUGCAGCAACGCCGCGUGCGGGAUGACGGCCUUCGGGUUGUAAACCGCUUUCGCCUGUGACGAAGCGUGAGUGACGGUAAUGGGUAAAGAAGCACCGGCUAACUACGUG